AUUGAACGCUGGCGGCAUGCCUUACACAUGCAAGUCGAACGGCAGCAUGGAAGAGCUUGCUCUUCUGAUGGCGAGUGGCGAACGGGUGAGUAAAGCAUCGGAACGUACCGUGUAGUGGGGGAUAACGUAGCGAAAGUUACGCUAAUACCGCAUACGCACUGAGGUGGAAAAGCAGGGGAUCGCAAGACCUUGCGCUAUACGAGCGGCCGAUGUCAGAUUAGCUAGUUGGUAGGGUAAAGGCCUACCAAGGCGACGAUCUGUAGCGGGUCUGAGAGGAUGAUCCGCCACACUGGGACUGAGACACGGCCCAGACUCCUACGGGAGGCAGCAGUGGGGAAUUUUGGACAAUGGGCGAAAGCCUGAUCCAGCCAUGCCGCGUGAGUGAAGAAGGCCUCGG
rnacentral:rRNA from 1 species